rnacentral:rRNA from 1 species
GAGCGGGCGUAGCAAUACGUCAGCGGCAGACGGGUGAGUAACGCGUGGGAACGUACCUUUUGGUUCGGAACAACACAGGGAAACUUGUGCUAAUACCGGAUAAGCCCUUACGGGGAAAGAUUUAUCGCCGAAAGAUCGGCCCGCGUCUGAUUAGCUAGUUGGUAGGGUAACGGCCUACCAAGGCGACGAUCAGUAGCUGGUCUGAGAGGAUGAUCAGCCACAUUGGGACUGAGACACGGCCCAAACUCCUACGGGAGGCAGCAGUGGGGAAUAUUGGACAAUGGGGGCAACCCUGAUCCAGCCAUGCCGCGUGAGUGAUGAAGGCCCUAGGGUUGUAAAGCUCUUUUGUGCGGGAAGAUAAUGACGGUACCGCAAGAAUAAGCCCCGGCUAACUUCGUGCCAGCAGCCGCGGUAAUACGAAGGGGGCUAGCGUUGCUCGGAAUCACUGGGCGUAAAGGGUGCGUAGGCGGGUCUUUAAGUCAGGGGUGAAAUCCUGGAGCUCAACUCCAGAACUGCCUUUGAUACUGAAGAUCUUGAGUUCGGGAGAGGUGAGUGGAACUGCGAGUGUAGAGGUGAAAUUCGUAGAUAUUCGCAAGAACACCAGUGGCGAAGGCGGCUC